rnacentral:rRNA from 1 species
UCGGGAAUUUUGGGCAAUGGGCGAAAGCCUGACCCAGCAACGCCGCGUGAGGGAUGAAGUAUUUCGGUAUGUAAACCUCGAAAGAAUGGGAAGAAUAAAUGACGGUACCAUUUAUAAGCUCCGGCUAACUACGUGCCAGCAGCCGCGGUAAUACGUAGGGAGCAAGCGUUGUUCGGAUUUACUAGGCGUAAAGGGCGCGUAGGCGGCGCGGUAAGUCACUUGUGAAAUCUCUGAGCUUAACUCAGAACGGCCAAGUGAUACUGCUGUGCUAGAGUGCGGAAGAGGCAACCGGAAUUCUUGGUGUAGCGGUGAAAUGCGUAGAUAUCUAGAGGAACACCUGAGGCGAAGGCGGGUUGCUGGGCCGACACUGACGCUGAUGCGCGAAAGCCAGGGGAGCAAACG